CAGCCGCCGCGGUAAUACGUAGGGUGCAAGCGUUAAUCGGAAUUACUGGGCGUAAAGCGUGCGCAGGCGGUUUGUUAAGACAGAUGUGAAAUCCCCGGGCUCAACCUGGGAACUGCAUUUGUGACUGGCAAGCUAGAGUGUGGCAGAGGGGGGUGGAACUCCGCGUGUAGCAGUGAAAUGCGUAGAUAUGCGGAGGAACACCGAUGGCGAAGGCAGCCCCCUGGGCCAACACUGACGCUCAUGCACGAAAGCGUGGGGAGCAAACAGGAUUAGAUACCCCGGUAGUCCCUGUCUCUUAUAC
rnacentral:rRNA from 1 species